CUGGACUUCCUCCAACAACAGCUCCGUGUCCUUCCUGUGCUGAGGGCCACACAGCUGGAUGCAGUGUUCCAGUACAGACCUCUGAGGGACAUCACUUGUCACUGAUCUCCAUUUGGACAUGGAACAUCUAUGAUAUCAUUGAGCUGUUAACCACCACCCUCCGGAUGUGACUCCCCAGCCAAUUCCUCGUCUACCAAACAGUUCAUCCAUCAAAUCCAUUCCUCUCCAAUUUUGAGUUCUCAUUUUCAGCUGUUACCUGGCAUGAAUUUGCACAGAAGAACCUCCCCUGUCAUCAGAAGCCAGAAAAAUCCAUUCAGAUUAGGAGACGGAAGGAGAUUUAGAAAGAGAGUCUCUGUUGGAUCAUGCUUGUGCCUUCACAAAAGCCAUAUUUUUAUUAUGCCCUUACAUAACCUGUCCCCUGUUUCAAAUACAGCUUGAAAAAAACCUCCUUCAUACGAGAACAUGACCAGCUGAGUAAAUAAAAAAACCUGUUGAA